rnacentral:tRNA from 1 species
GGGAUGGUGGCUCAGUGGUAGAGAAUUUGCUUUGCAUGCAGAAACUGUCAAGUUCAGUCCUUGGCCUCUCUCCU